GACGAACGCUGGCGGCGUGCUUAACACAUGCAAGUCGAGCGGUAAGGCCCCUUUGGGGGUACACGAGCGGCGAACGGGUGAGUAACACGUGGGUGACCUGCCCUCAGCUCUGGGAUAAGCCUGGGAAACUGGGUCUAAUACCGGAUAUGACUCCAUGACGCAUGUUGUGGGGUGGAAAGCCUUGUGCGGCUGAGGAUGGGCCCGCGGCCUAUCAGCUUGUUGGUGGGGNGAUGGCCUACCAAGGCGACGACGGGUAGCCGGCCUGAGAGGGCGACCGGCCACACUGGGACUGAGACACGGCCCAGACUCCUACGGGAGGCAGCAGUGGGGAAUCUUGCGCAAUGGGCGAAAGCCUGACGCAGCGACGCCGCGUGAGGGAUGACGGCCU
rnacentral:rRNA from 1 species